CUUGCCCUUCCUCUAGCCCAACUACUUGCAGUUCUCAACUUUAAAAAUCCAUUACACCAUCUAAGUAAAACAUUCUAAUUUUUCCUAGUAUAGGUGAUAGAAAAGACUCUUCGGCGCAAUAGAGAUUAAUCGUACCGUAAGGGAAAGGUGAAAUAACAGUGAAAACAACAAGCAUAAGACAGCAAAGACUAACCCUUGUACCUCUUGCAUCAUGAUUUAGCAAGAACAACCAAGCAAAGUGAACUAAAAGUUUGCCUUCCCGAAACCCAAGCGAGCUACCUGUAAGCAGCUAAACUGAGCGAACCCGUCUCUGUUGCAAAAGAGUGGGAUGACUUACUGGUAGAGGUGAAAAGCUAAUCGAGCUGGGUGAUAGCUGGUUACCUGCCAAAUGAAUUUAAGUUCCCCCUUAACUCAUUCCCCAAGGACACCUACCUGACCCCAUUCGUGUAAGAGUUAAGAGUUAUUCGAUGGGGGUACAGCCCCUUCGAAAAAGAACACAAUCUCCUCCAGCGGAUAAUCCACUUCCUCCUUCCCCAUCGUAGGCCCUUAAGCAGCCAUCAACAAAAGAGUGCGUCAAAGCUCCCCUAUAAAAAAAUCUAUACCCCUAUCUGACUCCCUAACCCCAAGCAGGUUAACCUAUAACAAUAGGAGAAUCAAUGCUAAAAUGAGUAACUUGGAACCCCCCCUCCUCAUCGGCGUAAACUUACAUUAAUAUAUUAUUAACAGAACAACUUAUACCCCUACUUCAACAAGAAUAAGUAUUCAACCCAAUCUGUUAACCCAACUCAGGAACGCCAAUAUUAGAUGAUUAAAACCCGCAAAAGGAACUCGGCAAACCAAAGACCCGACUGUUUACCAAAAACAUAGCCUUCAGCUAACAACAAGUAUUGAAGGUGAUGCCUGCCCAGUGACCCCAAAGUUCAACGGCCGCGGUAUCCUAACCGUGCGAAGGUAGCGCAAUCAAUUGUCCCAUAAAUUGAGACUUGUAUGAAAGGCUAAACGAGGUCUUAACUGUCUCUUGCAGGUAAUCAGUGAAAUUAGUAUUCCCGUGCAAAAACGAGAAUGUGAUCAUAAGACGAGAAGACCCUGUGGAACUUAAAAAUAACGACCACUCCUCCACCUAGACCAUCCACCGGACUCACCCUCAUAAGACACUUGGUCGACAUUUUUCGGUUGGGGCGACCUUGGAGAAGAAUAAAUCCUCCAAACCUGUAGACCACCACUCUUCACUAAGACCCACCCAUCAAAGUACUAACAGUAUUCUAGACCCAAUACAAUUGACCAAUGAACCAAGCUACCCCAGGGAUAACAGCGCAAUCUCCUUCAAGAGCCCAUAUCGACAAGGAGGUUUACGACCUCGAUGUUGGAUCAGGACAACCUAAUGGUGCAGCCGCUAUUAAGGGUUCGUUUGUUCAACGAUUAACAGUCCUACGUGAUCUGAGUUCAGACCGGAGCAAUCCAGGUCGGUUUCUAUCUAUGAAUAGACUCCUCCUAGUACGAAAGGACCGGAGAAGUAGGGCCAAUGUCACAAGACAUACCCUAGUCUUACAAGCAAUGAAUGCAACUCAAUUGCCAAAAAGCCUCUAAUACACACCCAAUUCCUAGAAAAGGACA
rnacentral:rRNA from 1 species